rnacentral:rRNA from 1 species
UACGAAGGGGGCUAGCGUUGCUCGGAAUCACUGGGCGUAAAGCGCACGUAGGCGGACUCUUAAGUCGGUGGUGAAAUCCUGGAGCUCAACUCCAGAACUGCCUUCGAUACUGAGAGUCUCGAGUCCGAGAGAGGUGAGUGGAACUGCGAGUGUAGAGGUGAAAUUCGUAGAUAUUCGCAAGAACACCAGUGGCGAAGGCGGCUCACUGGCCCGGAACUGACGCUGAGGUGCGAAAGCGUGGGGAGCAAACAGG